CCUACGGGAGGCAGCAGUGAGGAAUAUUGGUCAAUGGACGAGAGUCUGAACCAGCCAAGUAGCGUGAAGGAUGACUGCGCUAUGGGUUGUAAACUUCUUUUAUAAAGGAAUAAAACGAGGCACGUGUGCCUUUUUGCAUGUACUUUAUGAAUAAGCAUCGGCUAACUCCGUGCCAGCAGCCGCGGUAAUACGGAGGAUCCGAGCGUUAUCCGGAUUUAUUGGGUUUAAAGGGAGCGUAGGUGGGAUGUUAAGUCAGUUGGUAAAGUUUGGAGCUCAAACGUAAAAUUGCAAUUGAUACUGGCAGUCUUGAGUACAGGUGAGGUAGGCGGAAUUCGUGGUGGAGCGGUGAAAUGCUUAGAUAUCACGAAGAACCCCGAUUGCGAAGGCAGCUUACUAGACUGUGACUGACAUUGAUGCUCGAAAGUGUGGGUAUCAAACAGGAUUAGAUACCCCGGUAGUC
rnacentral:rRNA from 1 species